AUUGAACGCUAGCGGCAGGCCUAAUACAUGCAAGUCGAGGGGUAGAAGAGGCUUGCUUCUUUGAGACCGGCGCACGGGUGCGUAACGCGUAUGCAACCUACCUUCAUCUGGGGGAUAGCCCGGAGAAAUCCGGAUUAAUACCGCAUAAAAUCACAGGAUGGCAUUAUCCAAUGAUCAAACAUUUAUGGGAUGGAGAUGGGCAUGCGUGUCAUUAGCUAGUUGGCGGGGUAACGGCCCACCAAGGCGACGAUGACUAGGGGAUCUGAGAGGAUGGCCCCCCACACUGGUACUGAGACACGGACCAGACUCCUACGGGAGGCAGCAGUAAGGAAUAUUGGUCAAUGGAGGCAACUCUGAACCAGCCAUGCCGCGUGCAGGAAGACUGCCCUAUGGGUUGUAAACUGCUUUUAUUCGGGAAUAAACCUUAUUACGUGUAAUAAGCUGAAUGUACCGAAGGAAUAAGGAUCGGCUAACUCCGUGCCAGCAGCCGCCGUAACAC
rnacentral:rRNA from 1 species